AUUGAACGCUGGCGGCAUGCUUUACACAUGCAAGUCGAACGGUAACAGGCCGCAAGGUGCUGACGAGUGGCGAACGGGUGAGUAAUGCAUCGGAACGUGCCCAGUCGUGGGGGAUAACGCAGCGAAAGCUGCGCUAAUACCGCAUACGAUCUAUGGAUGAAAGCGGGGGACCGUAAGGCCUCGCGCGAUUGGAGCGGCCGAUGUCAGAUUAGGUAGUUGGUGGGGUAAAGGCUCACCAAGCCAACGAUCUGUAGCUGGUCUGAGAGGACGACCAGCCACACUGGGACUGAGACACGGCCCAGACUCCUACGGGAGGCAGCAGUGGGGAAUUUUGGACAAUGGGCGCAAGCCUGAUCCAGCAAUGCCGCGUGCAGGAAGAAGGCCUUCGGGUUGUAAACUGCUUUUGUACGGAACGAAACGGCUCUGGUUAAUACCUGGGGCUAAUGACGGUACCGUAAGAAUAAGCACCGGCUAACUACGUGCCAGCAGCCGCAGUAAAAC
rnacentral:rRNA from 1 species